rnacentral:rRNA from 1 species
UACGUAGGGGGCAAGCGUUGUCCGGAAUCAUUGGGCGUAAAGAGCGUGUAGGCGGCUCGGUAAGUCCGCUCUGAAAGCCCGGGGCUCAACCCCGGGAGGCGGGCGGAUACUGUCGGGCUAGAGUCCGGAAGAGGCGAGUGGAAUUCCUGGUGUAACGGUGAAAUGCGCAGAUAUCAGGAGGAACACCAAUGGCGAAGGCAGCUCGCUGGGACGGUACUGACGCUGGGACGCGAAAGCGUGGGGAGCAAACAGG